rnacentral:miRNA from 1 species
AAGAUUAUUCUGGGGCCUCUCUCUCUCUCUCUCUCUCUCUCUCUCUCUCUCUCUCUUAUAUAUAUAUAUAUAUGAGAGAGAGAGAGAGAGAGAGAGAGAGAGAGAGAGAGAGAGAGAGAGUAC